AGCAUCGCCACUGUUAAGAACUACACUACGGUAUAGGGGCAUCCGUCGUAACAAUUCAUCAGGAAAGGAGGUGGGAGAGUCAAAAUAUGUUCCUUGACUCUUUCGGAAAUGAAUGACCUACUUAGUUUAUUAUUUACCCGUGCCGCAUUGCUGCUCUUCCUCAACCCGCUAGAAUUCUUCCUCGACCUACAUAACGAGCGGUAGUUGCGACUUACGGAAUAACAAACGAUCAUAUUCGGGUACGUAGAAGAAAACAAGAAAACAUCGAAUAGGCGAGAAAAUAAAGUAAAUUACCCAAGCUAUCCACCUGUUUCGCCGUGGAUGGCUCCCCAGUCGAAGAAAGGAAGUCGGUCAAGCCAAGACUGACACAUAUUUUGGUCUUCAGAAUGGAGCGGCCUAUUUCUAGGAAGACAUCAUUUUCUACAGCUUUGAGCCCACUUGUGAUUUGAUAUAAUAGUCUUAAAAAGGGACUGGA